rnacentral:lncRNA from 1 species
GGAGCAAUGGCUUUAUUUGGGGACUGCCCCUGCAGCCCCCUCCCCAGCACCCGGCACCCAUCCUGCCCCUCCCCGAGUCCUUGUCCCCCCACUUUGCCACAGCCCAGCCCCGGCCCCCCCAGAUCCCACUGGAGGAGCCGGGGCCGCAUCCUGCCCCGGGGGCACAGGGGAGCUGCUGGGGCUGGGGGGGCUCAGGCACUGGGACUCUUCAUGUCACCCAGAGCCACCGAGGCUGCUCCCGCUGCUCCUCCUGCUCCGCCUGCCCGGGAUGGGCCCCACGAUGGGGGUGACCAUGAGACAGGGCCAUGGGACCCCCAGAUGGCACCCAUGGCCCCACUCACCGGCCGCCGUGGGCUGCAGGACCAGGCUGCAGAGGAGCUGCCGGGGGGCAGCACCGGCCACGUAGCAGGAGUAAUUCCCGAAGUCGGGAUCGCUGAGGUUCCUCAGGAGCAGGGCCAGGCCGGCGGCCCCCGGCCCCGUGGCGCAGAAGGACACCCUGCCCCUAAACUGGUUGUCGGGCUCCUCCGGUGGGAUCCAGCCCGGCUCCGGCGGGAGCCAGCCCAGGCGGUGCCGGAGGACGGGAAUGGGGUGGUGGGUCCCAUUCUGGUGGGUGCAGCUGAGGGUGACCCCCCGUAGGUGACCCCAUGGCUGGGUGCUGCAGGGCAGGCAGGCGUCAUCCCCGAUGGAUGCGGUGACGGUGACGGGGGGCUGGUCUGUGGGCAGCCAGGGCCCAGAGCAUCACGAUGGGGAACAGCACCAUCCUGCCGGCAUCCGGACCCACCACCCGCGCCGCACCGAGACCCCGCAGCCGCCGCGGC